rnacentral:rRNA from 1 species
GACGAACGCUGGCGGCGUGCCUAAUACAUGCAAGUAGAACGCUGAAGUUAUGAGCUUGCUCUUCUUGGCUGAGUUUCUGACUUGUGAGUAACUCGUUGGUAACCUGCCUGGUAGCGGGGGAUCACUAUUUGAAUCUAUAGCUCAUUCCGCAUUACAUUGUUUAUUUCAUUAUAAUUAAUUGAAAGAUUCAACUGCAUCACUACCCGAUUGACCUGCGUUGUAUUAGCUAGUUGGUGAGGUAACGGCUCACCAAGGCGACGAUACAUAGCCGACCUGAGAGGGUGAUCGGCCACACUGGGACUGAGACACGGCCCAGACUCCUACGGGAGGCAGCAGUAGGGAAUCUUCGGCAAUGGAGGGAAGCCUGACCGAGCAACGCCGCGUGAGUGAAGAAGGUUUUCGGAUCGUAAAGCUCUGUUGUAAGAGAAGAACGGGUGUGAGAGUGGAAAGUCCACACUGUGACGGUAUCUUACCAGAAAGGGACGGCUAACUACGUG